AACACAAGGAUCUGUAUAAGCUCGCGAAAUCCGGGAACGACUGCUGACUUCCAUCCGUCUCUGCUCUUUAUAUACUUGCCAUAGCUCGUGGCAAUUUUGCUGCAAAAACAAAAUCUUUAUUUGGAAAGGAGAGCUUUGCACCCCGGGUAACGAAAAUUGAAAAAUGGAAAUCUCAAAAGAACUAAGUCCAUAUUUGGGUAUGAAUUUUACAUUGGAUUUAACUCAGUUCCUUUAACGUAACAGAAUGAUGAUGAAUGUAGCUAUUAGCUUUUUUCAACAUGUACUGCGAUAAAUAAAAAGAAACGCCUGAAAAUAUGAGCAAGGGCGGCCUUCAA